GGAGACCCCGGACUUUUGAACAACUUAAGUCGUAGAUCAAGCAAGACUGGGAAAGAAUUCCACCUACAAAGCUUCAACAAGCUGUGUCCUCAGUUCCCAAAUGCUUAUUGAGUGUUGUUAGAAGGAAAGGUGAUGUAACACAGCGGUAAACAUACCACUGUCCCAGCUUUUUUGAAA